CCCGCCAUGUUCUUUUUUUUCCCGCGUGGCCGGUGAGGAAGGUAUUUUCUGUCACUGAUCCAUCAAGCAACAUUUUGUACAGGGAAGUUGGUAACAGAAGAGGACAGGUUUUCUUGGAACCGAACAUCGUCAAAGCUUUAUUAAGAAGACCGUCGUUUUCUGUGGUGAGGUUAAAUAAUUGAAUGGCUCAUGUGCGGUGCCUCUGCGUGCACGCCCCCACUCCCUGAAUAUGGGGAGAAUCCUUAGCACCCAUUACACGCCUGUGAGGACAAAGCCUGUCUUGCACUGCGUGUGGCGUUUGCAUUCAACUUUGCCCCAAUACAGUUGGUAUUUUCCAGACCUUAUACUCUUCUGAUGGGACGGGGGAUAGAAGUCAGGGUGUGGUGAAUUACGAAAUAGACUUUUUGACACACCUUAGAAUUGAGAAAAGAAUAGCAUAAGGCUUGAAAAUGCAAUUUUUAAAAAAUAAAAUGCUUUAGAAAUAGCUAGAAUGUUAUGGCCAGAAAUUUAUCCUGUUCCUCAUGCU